GUGGGGAAUAUUGCACAAUGGGCGGAAGCCUGAUGCAGCAACGCCGCGUGCGGGAUGACGGCCUUCGGGUUGUAAACCGCUUUCAGCAGGGACGAAGCGCAAGUGACGGUACCUGCAGAAGAAGCACCGGCUAACUACGUGCCAGCAGCCGCGGUGAUACGUAGGGUGCGAGCGUUGUCCGGAUUUAUUGGGCGUAAAGAGCUUGUAGGCGGUUGGUUGCGUCGAAAGUGCAAACUCAGGGCUUAACUCUGAGCCUGCUUUCGAUACGGGCUGACUGGAGGAAGGUAGGGGAGAAUGGAAUUCCCGGUGGAGCGGUGGAAUGCGCAGAUAUCGGGAGGAACACCAGUGGCGAAGGCGGUUCUCUGGACCUUUCCUGACGCUGAGAAGCGAAAGCGUGGGGAGCAAACAGGCUUAGAUACCCGGGUAGUCC
rnacentral:rRNA from 1 species